CCAAGGCUAAAUACUCCUGACUGACCGAUAGUGAACCAGUACCGUGAGGGAAAGGCGAAAAGAACCCCGGCGAGGGGAGUGAAAAAGAACCUGAAACCGUGUACGUACAAGCAGUGGGAGCACGCUUCGGCGUGUGACUGCGUACCUUUUGUAUAAUGGGUCAGCGACUUAUAUUCUGUAGCAAGGUUAACCGAAUAGGGGAGCCGAAGGGAAACCGAGUCUUAACUGGGCGUUAAGUUGCAGGGUAUAGACCCGAAACCCGGUGAUCUAGCCAUGGGCAGGUUGAAGGUUGGGUAACACUAACUGGAGGACCGAACCGACUAAUGUUGAAAAAUUAGCGGAUGACUUGUGGCUGGGGGUGAAAGGCCAAUCAAACCGGGAGAUAGCUGGUUCUCCCCGAAAGCUAUUUAGGUAGCGCCUCGUGAACUCAUCUCCGGGGGUAGAGCACUGUUUCGGCAAGGGGGUCAUCCCGACUUACCAACCCGAUGCAAACUGCGAAUACCGGAGAAUGUUAUCACGGGAGACACACGGCGGGUGCUAACGUCCGUCGUGAAGAGGGAAACAACCCAGACCGCCAGCUAAGGUCCCAAAGUCAUGGUUAAGUGGGAAACGAUGUGGGAAGGCCCAGACAGCCAGGAUGUUGGCUUAGAAGCAGCCAUCAUUUAAAGAAAGCGUAAUAGCUCACUGGUCGAGUCGGCCUGCGCGGAAGAUGUAACGGGGCUAAACCAUGCACCGAAGCUGCGGCAGCGACACUAUGUGUUGUUGGGUAGGGGAGCGUUCUGUAAGCCUGUGAAGGUGUGCUGUGAGGCAUGCUGGAGGUAUCAGAAGUGCGAAUGCUGACAUAAGUAACGAUAAAGCGGGUGAAAAGCCCGCUCGCCGGAAGAC
rnacentral:rRNA from 1 species